rnacentral:rRNA from 1 species
AGAGUUUGAUCCUGGCUCAGGACGAACGUUGGCGGUGCGCUUAAUGCAUGCAAGUCGAGGGAGAACCAUUCGAUCCGUAAGGACUGGAUGGGGAAACCGGCGAACGGGUGCGUAACACGUGAGGAACCUGCCCCGAAGACCGGGAUAGCCCGAGGAAACUCGGAUUAAUACCGGAUACCCUCUUUGGACCACAUGGUCCGCUGAGGAAAUGGUCCGCCGCUUCGGGAUGGCCUCGCGGCCUAUCAGCUUGUUGGUGAGGUAACGGCUCACCAAGGCAAAGACGGGUAGCUGGUCUGAGAGGACGAUCAGCCACACUGGGACUGAGACACGGCCCAGACUCCUACGGGAGGCAGCAGCAGGGAAUAUUGCACAAUGGGCGAAAGCCUGAUGCAGCGACACCGCGUGCGGGAUGAAGGCCCUCGGGUUGUAAACCGCUUUCAGGAGGGACGAAAAUGACGGUACCUCCAGAAGAAGGCCCGGCCAACUACGUGCCAGCAGCCGCGGUAAUACGUAGGGGCCAAACGUUGUCCGGAUUUAUUGGGCGUAAAGGGCUCGUAGGCGGUUCAACAAGUCUAUCGUGAAAGCCCGGGGCUCAACCCCGGGACGCCGGUCGAAACUGUUGUGACUAGGGUCCGGUAAAGGUGAGUGGAAUUCCCGGUGUUACGUUGGAAUGCCCAGAUAUCGAGAGGAACACCCGUU